CUCGAGGCCAGAUCUUUCCGGUUGAUCCUGCCGGACCUGACUGCUAUCGGGUUGAUACUAAGCCAUGCGAGUCAUUGUAGCAAUACAAGGCAGACGGCUCAGUAACACGUAGUCAACCUACCCUAUGGACGGGGAUAAUCUCGGGAAACUGAGAAUAAUACCCGACAGAUCAUUGUGCCUGGAAUGGCUAAUGGUUGAAAUGAUUUAUCGCCGUAGGAUGGGACUGCGGCCUAUCAGUUUGUUGGCGGGGUAAUGGCCCACCAAGACUAUUACAGGUACGGGCUCUGAGAGGAGAGGCCCGGAGAUGGGUACUGAGACACGGACCCAGGCCCUAUGGGGCGCAGCAGGCGAGAAACCUUUGCAAUGUGCGAAAGCACGACAAGGUUAAUCCGAGUGUUUUCUGCUAAAGAAAUCUUUUGUCAGUCCUAAAAACACUGAUGGAUAAGGGGUGGGCAAGUUCUGGUGUCAGCCGCCGCGGUAAAACCAGCACCUCAAGUGGUCAGGAGGUUUAUUGGGCCUAAAGCAUCCGUAGCCGGCUAUGCAAGUUUUCGGUUAAA
rnacentral:rRNA from 1 species